UCUACCUCCCCUUCCUUCCUUCUUUCCUUCCUACCAAAAUCAUAAGGUCCCCACUCUUCACUGCCUUCCAGAAACAGCCAUCCUUUUACAGAACCAUCGUCUUCUCCAGCAGAUGUCCGCGAAGAUGAGGAAGACCACGAGCAGCGUGAGCGCAGCCAGCAUCCAGCUCCGGAACUGCAGCUGCAUGCUGUGACUUCUCUGUUCAUGAAAACUUUGCUGGCGACCUCUAUCAGCUGAGUGAUAUUCAUCCUGGCAAAGACCUCCAACUUCUGGAGUUUUCUUCUGAUAUCUGGGAAGCCUGUGCCACAAAAGAGGGAUUUUUGGAGCCACAAGAUCUCAAUAGUGGUAGAAAGCUGAAAAAAGAAACAGUGAAAAUCAAUAAAGACUCAGAAAACGUUUUGAAGUAAACAUAUAUGUGUGAA